rnacentral:rRNA from 1 species
UGGGGAAUAUUGGACAAUGGGCGAAAGCCUGAUCCAGCCAUGCCGCGUGUGUGAAGAAGGUCUUCGGAUUGUAAAGCACUUUAAGUUGGGAGGAAGGGCAGUAAGCGAAUACCUUGCUGUUUUGACGUUACCGACAGAAUAAGCACCGGCUAACUCUGUGCCAGCAGCCGCGGUAAUACAGAGGGUGCAAGCGUUAAUCGGAAUUACUGGGCGUAAAGCGCGCGUAGGUGGUUCGUUAAGUUGAAUGUGAAAGCCCCGGGAUCAACCUCGGAACUGCAUCCAAAACUGGCGAGCUAGAGUAGGGCAGAGGGUGGUGGAAUUUCCUGUGUGGCGGUGAAAUGCGUAGAUAUAGGAAGGAACACCAGUGGCGAAGGCGACCACCUGGGCUCAUACUGACACUGAGGUGCGAAAGCGUGGGGAGCAAACAGG